CCUGUUCACUAAGAUUUCUAGGUUUCCGGAUAUGUGGAGAACGCAUGGAAAAGUCUCAGCGGAUUCCUCUCCAGGUGUCCCACUCCUCAGUAGUAGAGACUGCAUGCUUGCUGAGGUUAAGAGUCUCCUUGCUGGCUUCAAACUCAGAGCAAUCUACCUGCCUUUGCCUCCAGUGUUGGGAUUAAAAGUGUUUACCACCGUGUCCAACCAAUUUUUAUAAUAAGCACACCUAGCACCACGAAACCAAAAGGUGUGUAGGCUGCCAGACAUCGAGC